rnacentral:tRNA from 3 species
GCGCGGGUGUUGUAAUGGUAGCCAAGCUGGCUUGAGGUGCCAGUGUUCGCAAGGACGUGGAGGUUCGAAUCCUCUCCCGCGCACCU